CUGUGUCUUGCUUCAACAGUGUUUGGCAGAACGG
rfam:Rattus norvegicus chromosome 11, whole genome shotgun sequence.